GAGCUUGCUMSUUGUGKKGCGAGUGACGGACGGGUGAGGAAUACAUCGGAAUCUACCUUUUCGUGGGGGAUAACGUAGGGAAACUUACGCUAAUACCGCAUACGACCUUCGGGUGAAAGUAGGGGAUCGSAAGACCUUACGCGGAUAGAUGAGCCGAUGUCGGAUUAGCUWGUUGGCGGGGUAAARGCCCACCAAGGCKACGAUCCGUAGCUGGUCUGAGAGGAUGAUCAGCCACACUGGAACUGAGACACGGUCCAGACUCCUACGGGAGGCAGCAGUGGGGAAUAUUGGACAAUGGGCGCAAGCCUGAUUCCAGCCAUACCGCGUGGGUGAAGAAGGCCUUCGGGUUGUAAGCCCUUUUGUUGGGAAAGAAAUCCUGYCGGCUAAUACCCGGUAGGGAUGACGGUACCCAAAGAAUAACACCGGCUAACUUCGUGCCAGCAGCCGCGGUAAUACGAAGGGUGCAAGCGUUACUCGGAAUUACUGGGCGUAAGCGUGCGUAGGUGGUUCGUUAAGUCUG
rnacentral:rRNA from 1 species